GACGAACGCUGGCGGCGUGCUUAACACAUGCAAGUCGAACGGAAAGGCCCCAGCUUGCUGGGGUACUCGAGUGGCGAACGGGUGAGUAACACGUGGGUGAUCUGCCCUGCACUCUGGGAUAAGCCUGGGAAACUGGGUCUAAUACCGGAUAGGACCGUGCUUUAGUGUGUGCGGUGGAAAGUUUUUCGGUGCAGGGUGAGCCCGCGGCCUAUCAGCUUGUUGGUGGGGUAAUGGCCUACCAAGGCGGCGACGGGUAGCCGGCCUGAGAGGGUGUACGGCCACAUUGGGACUGAGACACGGCCCAGACUCCUACGGGAGGCAGCAGUGGGGAAUAUUGCACAAUGGGCGCAAGCCUGAUGCAGCGACGCCGCGUGGGGGAUGACGGCCUUCGGGUUGUAAACCCCUUUCGGCAGGGACGAAGCUUUUGUGACGGUACCUGCAUAAGAAGCACCGGCUAACUACGUG
rnacentral:rRNA from 1 species